GGGAAUAUUUCACAAUGGGCGAAAGCCUGAUGCAGCAACGCCGCGUGAGCGAUGAAGGCCUUCGGGUCGUAAAGCUCUGUCCUCAAGGAAGAUAAUGACGGUACUUGAGGAGGAAGCCCCGGCUAACUACGUGCCAGCAGCCGCGGUAAUACGUAGGGGGCUAGCGUUAUCCGGAAUUACUGGGCGUAAAGGGUGCGUAGGUGGUUUCUUAAGUCAGAGGUGAAAGGCUACGGCUCAACCGUAGUAAGCCUUUGAAACUGGGGAACUUGAGUGCAGGAGAGGAGAGUGGAAUUCCUAGUGUAGCGGUGAAAUGCGUAGAUAUUCGGAAGAACACCAGUGGCGAAGGCGGCUCACUGGACUGGUAUUGACGCUGAGGUGCGAAAGCGUGGGGAGCAA
rnacentral:rRNA from 1 species